rnacentral:rRNA from 1 species
UACGUAGGGGGCUAGCGUUGUCCGGAUUUAUUGGGCGUAAAGAGCUCGUAGGUGGUUCGGUAAGUCGGAUGUGAAAUCCCCAGGCUCAACCUGGGAACUGCGUCUGAUACUGGAUGGCUUGAAUCCGGGAGAGGGAUGCAGAAUUCCAGGUGUAGCGGUGAAAUGCGUAGAUAUCUGGAGGAAUACCGGUGGCGAAGGCGGCAUCCUGGACCGGCAUUGACGCUGAGGAGCGAAAGCCAGGGGAGCAAACGGG